GAAUGUUUCUAUGCUGGUUUAAACACAUGCUCCUCUGCUCUCAAUUUUCUGUCUCAAACCUGUAUGACUUAUAACAUCUCUACUGUGUGAAUAGGAAGGGAAGAUGGGAUUUGAUUAACAGCUCUGGUCGUAAUUUUAGCUGUAAUCUCUGUAUGUUGGGGACUCCAGCCCUUUUUCUUUUGAAAGGUUGGUAUUCUCCGGGCGGUUGCUGACUACGCUCUCGGCGAGGACACAGCAGAACUGUAUGCAGCAGAAAUAAUUCACUGGACCCAGGACUGCAUGGGUUCAAGUUCUGGGUCAACUACUUGGUGAAAAACAGAAAAUAAUAUGUUUCACCAUUAUCUGCCACACCUUUCAGAGUGACACAGAAAUGGUGACGGGAGCCACAGAAUGUUCCCAGUUCCAGAGGGAGAACGAAAGUCUUUUCCAAACCUCAUCAAAAACGUUACAUGUAUACGAUUCCCUCCAGCGAGAAUUUUAUUUUUAAUUUUCAUUUACAUAGUAUCUUUCUUCCAAGAAUCUCAAAAUAAUGGAGCUGUAGAAAUACUUGUUUAAAAAAAAAAGUUGUCACAACACAGGAAGGGACAGGCUUGGCAGGGCAGGAGAAGGGCGAGAAGUGACAGGCCGUCCUGACAGCAAGGGCUCCAGGUAACACCCGGAGGCUAGGCUGAGGGCGGCUCCAAGCCGGCCCUUCCCUCACUGCAGCCCACGGCUUUACCAAUGCUCACAGCUUCAGGCUCUUCAAGACAAAGAUUUACCUUUGGUAUCAUCUGCUACCUUUUAUCAAAUUAUUUUUUAUCUAAAUAAUCAUUUCUUCCCUAGAAACAGGAGGGGAAAGUGGUAAUAAGCCAGAGAAACUUACAGGCCCAAAACAACAACUCAACAAAGGUGUCUAAAAAGAGUGGAGGCCAGGUGCUUCAAAGCUGUUUCAGGCGCAGGACAAAUGAGGGGAACGGCACAGGUUCCCCUCAGUCCUGGUUCAUUUCCUGCAGGGAAACCUCCAUCCCCGCCAAAGACCACUCUCCUCCAUCAACCUUCUCAGAAGACAGCAGAGAAGCUGGACUGAUUACAGCUCAGCAAAUCCAAAACUGCUCCAUACCAAACCUUAGCUGUCCUCAGCAGGAAAAUCCAACACUGACACACCAUCGAAACUUGGUUCUGAAACACAUCCCAAAACCAGGGUGAUCGACAGCUUUUCAAGACCACGCCUUGAAAACUGGAAUGGGUCAAAUAACACAGUCAAUCCAGAGGGCCCUGCCAUUAAUAUUUAAGAAAACAUCGGCCGGGCACGGUGGCUCACGCCUGUAAUCCCAGCACUUUGGGAGGCCGAGGCGGGCAGAUCACGAGGUCAGGAGAUCGAGACCAUCCUGGCUAACACAGUGAAACCUCGUCUCAACUAAAAAUAGAAAAAAUUAGCCGGGCGUGGUGGCGGGCGCCUGUAGUCCCAGCUACUCCGGAGGCUGAGGCAGGAGAAUGGCGUGAACCCGGGAGGCUCAGCUUGCAGUGAGCCGAGAUCGCGCCACUGCACUCCAGCCUGGGCCACAGAACCAGACUACAUCUCAAAAAAAAAAAAAAACAAAAAAACAAAAAAACUAGCCAGGCAUGGUGGCGGGCGCCUAUCGUCCCAGCUACUCGGGAGACUAAGGAAGGAGAAUGGCCUGAACCCUGGAGGCGGAGCUUGCAGUGAGCCGAGAUCGCACCACUGCACUCCAGCCUGGGCGACAGAACCACGUCUCAAAAAAAAAAAAAAAAAAAAAAAAAAGAAAAAAGAAAAAAAGAAAAGAAAAGAAAAUAGGGGCCGGGCACGGUGGCUCACGCCUGUAAUCCCAGCACUU
rnacentral:lncRNA from 1 species